rnacentral:rRNA from 1 species
AACGAACGCUGGCGGCGUGGAUAAGACAUGCAAGUCGAACGGGAUUAUUUUUGUAGCAAUACAGAAAUAAUUCAGUGGCGAACGGGUGCGUAACACGUGGGCAAUCUGCCGAAAAGUGGGGGAUAGCUCGCCGAAAGGCGAAUUAAUACCGCAUGUGGUGAGGGACGACAUCUUCCUGAAUCCAAAGCCGGGGCAACCUGGCGCUUUUUGAGGAGCCCGCGGCCUAUCAGCUUGNGGCGGGGUAACGGCCCACCAAGGCUAUGACGGGUAGCUGGUCUGAGAGGACGACCAGUCACACUGGAACUGAGACACGGCCCAGACUCCUACGGGAGGCAGCAGUGGGGAAUCUUGCACAAUGGGCGAAAGCCUGAUGCAGCAACGCCGCGUGCGGGAAGAA